rnacentral:tRNA from 1 species
GUCAGGAUGGCCGAGCGGUCUAAGGCGCCAGACUCAAGGUACCCUUGCCUACGCAGUAGGUUGAGUUGAUCUGGUCCUCUCUGAGGGCGUGGGUUCGAAUCCCACUUCUGACA